GCUAGGGUAACUCAGUGGUAGAGCAUGUGUUUAGUAUGCACAAAGCCCUGAGUUCAAUCCCUAGCA
rnacentral:tRNA from 1 species